rnacentral:rRNA from 1 species
UACGUAGGUGGCAAGCGUUUGUCCGGAAUUAUUGGGCGUAAAGCGCGCGCAGGCGGUCCUUUUAAGUCUGAUGUGAAAGCCCACGGCUCAACCGUGGAGGGUCAUUGGAAACUGGGGGGACUUGAGUACAGAAGAGAAGAGUGGAAUUCCACGUGUAGCGGUGAAAUGCGUAGAGAUGUGGAGGAACACCAGUGGCGAAGGCGACUCUUUGGUCUGUAACUGACGCUGAGGCGCGAAAGCAUGGGGAGCAAACAGG